GCUUUCAGAGGUUCAUAAAAUUUAAGAUUAUACAUCAAUAGAUAUGAGAAUUGAUACUGCAGUAUUGGCAAUGCUAGUAGCAUUGCAGCUUUGUUGAAUUAUUACAUAGAGCACAUGAAGACAACAUACUGACAUAUAUAUUUUAUGAUUUCGAAGAAAGGGGUAAACCUGACAACAAGCCUAAAUGGUAUAACAACUGGGAAAUUACUGACAUAUAUAAGCAUCAAGCGUUCGCUCUUGAUUGGAGUACUUCAGGGGAUUUAUCACUAUCAAGCAGAUUUGUAUCGUCCGCGAACAAUUUCGAAAAUAAUGUGGUGCUUCGAGCAAGAUCGUUGAUGAAUAUUAAAAAUAAAGUCGGUCCCAAGCACGAUCCCUGUGGGACUCCGUGGGUCACAGACUUGAAGAUUGGAACUACUCUCGCGAUUUUCAAUGAAGAUGGAAAUAUUCCCAACUGAAGUGAACUAUUGAAAAACUUUGUCAGACAUGGAGCUAUGAUAUCAGCAACAUACUUGAGAAAGCGGCUCUGGAUGUUGUCAGCCCCAACUGCCUUACCAUCCUUAAGACUUAUGAUUUCAGCUGUUAAUUCAUUCACUGUUGUGGGAUUCAGAAAUAUGGAAUUGCUUAUCCGCUUGUCAAGAUACUUUCUAAACCCCUCCAUGUCAUUGGGGAAUUGUUUAGAAAGAUUAGAACCGACAGUGGAAAAGUACUGAUUGAAUUCUUGUGCAAUCGAAUGACUAUCAUUAAUAAUACUGCCAUUUUCCAGAUGGAUUUCGUCAAUAUUAUGCCUUAACUUGUUUUUAGAGGAUGCAAUUUGAUUCACAAUUCGCCAUGUAGACUUGGGGUUUCCCUUGUUUUCAGCAAUCAUAUUCUGGUAAUACAUUUGUUUCGCCAUAUCAAUGGUAUGUGUGAGUAAAUUGCGAUACUUUUUGAAAUAUGAGCACUGGGAACUAUUGCCCUUUAGGAAGUGGGAUUUAUACAUUUUAUGUCUUGAACGAAUACUAUUGAGUAUUCCUUUCGAUAUCCAUGGUUUAAGUUUAAUCUUUUUUUCGCGGCGUGACAAUUGUUUAAACGGAGCAUGGCGGUCAAUUAGAUGAACAAUAGAAUUUGUAAAUUCUUCAAAAUGACUAUUAAAAUUAUGGGCAUUCAAGUUAAAUGCAGCAAAGUGAUUAUUAAUUAUAUCUUGCAUGUCUGACCGAAACGCGUCAAUCGAAAAUGUAGACAUAUCCCUUCUAAAAAUAACAUCAUUUCUGAUUGAUGGUUUGAUGCCAUUAAGACUACACAUUAUUGGGAAAUGAUCAGUAAUAUCUGAUAAUAUAACAUGAGAAUCCAGUUUUA